rnacentral:rRNA from 1 species
GGUGUGGGAUGGGCCCGCGGCCUAUCAGCUUGUUGGUGGGGUAAUGGCCUACCAAGGCGACGACGGGUAGCCGGCCUGAGAGGGUGACCGGCCACACUGGGACUGAGAUACGGCCCAGACUCCUACGGGAGGCAGCAGUGGGGAAUAUUGCACAAUGGGCGCAAGCCUGAUGCAGCGACGCCGCGUGAGGGAUGACGGCCUUCGGGUUGUAAACCUCUUUCGCCAGGGACGAAGCGCAAGUGACGGUACCUGGAGAAGAAGGACCGGCCAACUACGUGCCAGCAGCCGCGGUAAUACGUAGGGUCCGAGCGUUGUCCGGAAUUACUGGGCGUAAAGAGCUCGUAGGUGGUUUGUCGCGUUGUUCGUGAAAACUCACAACUCAAUUGUGGGCGUGCGGGCGAUACGGGCAGACUGGAGUACUGCAGGGGAGACUGGAAUUCCUGGUGUAGCGGUGGAAUGCGCAGAUAUCAGGAGGAACACCGGUGGCGAAGGCGGGUCUCUGGGCAGUAACUGACGCUGAGGAGCGAAAGCGUGGGGAGCGAACAGGAUUAGAUACCCUGGUAGUCCACGCCGUAAACGGUGGGUACUAGGUGUGGGUUUCCUUCCUUGGGAUCCGUGCCGUAGCUAACGC